rnacentral:rRNA from 1 species
GAGUUUGAUCGUGGCUCAGAUUGAACGCUGGCGGCAGGCCUAACACAUGCAAGUCGGGCGGUAGAGAGAAGCUUGCUUCUCUUGAGAGCGGCGGACGGGUGAGUAAUGCCUAGGAAUCUGCCUGGUAGUGGGGGAUAACGCUCGGAAACGGACGCUAAUACCGCAUACGUCCUACGGGAGAAAGCAGGGGACCUUCGGGCCUUGCGCUAUCAGAUGAGCCUAGGUCGGAUUAGCUAGUUGGUGAGGUAAUGGCUCACCAAGGCGACGAUCCGUAACUGGUCUGAGAGGAUGAUCAGUCACACUGGAACUGAGACACGGUCCAGACUCCUACGGGAGGCAGCAGUGGGGAAUAUUGGACAAUGGGCGAAAGCCUGAUCCAGCCAUGCCGCGUGUGUGAAGAAGGUCUUCGGAUUGUAAAGCACUUUAAGUUGGGAGGAAGGGCAGUAAAUUAAUAACUUUGCUGUUUUGACGUUACCGACAGAAUAAGCACCGGCUAACUCUGUGCCAGCAG